CAGUCGCCGCGGGAAUACGAAGGGUGCAAGCGUUAAUCGGAAUUACUGGGCGUAAAGCGCGCGUAGGUGGUUCGCCAAGUUGGAUGUGAAGUCCCCGGGCUCAACCUGGGAACUGCAUCCAAAACUGGCGAGCUAGAGUAUGGUAGAGGGUGGUGGAAUUUCCUGUGUAGCGGUGAAAUGCGUAGAUAUAGGAAGGAACAUCAGUGGCGAAGGCGACCACCUGGACUGAUACUGACACUGAGGUGCGAAAGCGUGGGGAGCAAGCAGGGUUAGAUACCCGAGUAGUCCCUGUCUCUUAUAC
rnacentral:rRNA from 1 species